AAACUGGGCCAUCAGCUCACUGCCGAGCUUGAGAAGAAAUGCGCCUGGAAAGGAGCCGCGACUGUAGAUGGAAUGAGACAGGAACUUCUGUGAAUGAUAUGCCCAGCGUCAUGGCCGCGGUGCGCCGUUAGCGCUCUCGGGACCCCUCCCACUGGCCCUUAGAGCUCAGCCAGCGGCUGCUGUGAGCUCCACCCCCUCAACCGAGAGGCUCCGGGAGCUGGUGUGCAGACCCAGGCCGGCUACCUGGUUUAAAGGAGAUCUGAUCAUGCGGGGCUGGUCACAAGGGGGCCGCCCCCUGGCCCCUCCCCUCUCGACGUGCGGCCCCCAGCCCCGGAUUCUGUCCUCCUGCAGUGAUGAAUGGCACCGCUGUCCCGCGCAGGCAGGCAAACCUCUUCCUGAAACAGAUUCUACUGGAGUCAACAACAGCGACAGAUUUUAGAGGAAAGCCCCUGGAAUGGAGACUCGGGCUUCACCUGGUUCCAGGCCCACUCUCUACAGAAAAAAAAUGAUUAAUCAAGGUGGGGGUAAGGGUUUACAGGAACGACAAGUCUCUGGCAUGAAUCCCUCAGGAACCUUUCAGAAUCUGAUCUCUGGGAAUAAAGUGGAGAGAGGGAUAUUAUCCUUGAGUAUAGAGCAGAGGAAGCAUAAGCAAGGGGUUCAGGCUCAAACAGACCUGAACCUAAGUAUUUCCUGGCUGUAUGACUUCAGGUACAAGACUUAAACUCUCUGAGCCUUACGUUGUGCCAUCUGUUAAAUAAAAUGGGAAUAAUAAUCUUCAUGUAUUAACACUAAAUAAUAAUGCAAAUAAAGUAAAAAGGUCUUUAUGGAAA